GACAACGCUGGCGGCGUGCCUAAUACAUGCAAGUCGAGCGAACUGAUUAGAAGCUUGCUUCUAUGACGUUAGCGGCGGACGGGUGAGUAACACGUGGGCAACCUGCCUGUAAGACUGGGAUAACUUCGGGAAACCGAAGCUAAUACCGGAUAGGAUCUUCUCCUUCAUGGGAGAUGAUUGAAAGAUGGUUUCGGCUAUCACUUACAGAUGGGCCCGCGGUGCAUUAGCUAGUUGGUGAGGUAACGGCUCACCAAGGCAACGAUGCAUAGCCGACCUGAGAGGGUGAUCGGCCACACUGGGACUGAGACACGGCCCAGACUCCUACGGGAGGCAGCAGUAGGGAAUCUUCCGCAAUGGACGAAAGUCUGACGGAGCAACGCCGCGUGAGUGAUGAAGGCUUUCGGGUCGUAAAACUCUGUUGUUAGGGAAGAACAAGUACGAGAGUAACUGCUCGUACCUUGACGGUACCUAACCAGAAAGCCACGGCUAACUACNUGCCANCAGCCGCGGUAAUACNUANGUGGCAAGCGUUAUCCGGAAUUAUUGGGCGUAAAGCGCGCGCANGCGGNUUCUUAANUCNGANGNGAACCACCGCUGCUC
rnacentral:rRNA from 2 species